UACGGAGGGGACUAGAGUUGUUCGGAAUUACUGGGCGUAAAGCGCACGUAGGCGUAUUUGUAAGUCAGGGGUGAAAUCACGGGGCUCAACCUCGGAACUGCCUUUGAUACUGCGAAUCUCGAGUCCGGAAGAGGUGAGUGGAAUUCCUAGUGUAGAGGUGAAAUUCGUAGAUAUUAGGAAGAACACCAGUGGCGAAGGCGGCUUACUGGUCCGGUACUGACGCUGAGGUGCGAAAGCGUGGGGAGCAAACAGG
rnacentral:rRNA from 1 species